rnacentral:rRNA from 1 species
ACAGGAAGCAGCUUGCUGUUUCGCUGACGAGUGGCGGACGGGUGAGUAAUGUCUGGGAAACUGCCUGAUGGAGGGGGAUAACUACUGGAAACGGUAGCUAAUACCGCAUAACGUCGCAAGACCAAAGAGGGGGACCUUCGGGCCUCUUGCCAUCGGAUGUGCCCAGAUGGGAUUAGCUAGUAGGUGGGGUAACGGCUCACCUAGGCGACGAUCCCUAGCUGGUCUGAGAGGAUGACCAGCCACACUGGAACUGAGACACGGUCCAGACUCCUACGGGAGGCAGCAGUGGGGAAUAUUGCACAAUGGGCGCAAGCCUGAUGCAGCCAUGCCGCGUGUAUGAAGAAGGCCUUCGGGUUGUAAAGUACUUUCAGCGGGGAGGAA